GCAUGCAUUAAUAUAUUAUUCUGUUUGUAUGUGCAGGUCAAAAAAUUGAAGGAACCUCAUACGUGCUCAUCUAUAAACAAAUGUGGCAACAAGAUGGCCACACAAUUUUGGAUAUGUGAUAGGAUCAUUGGUUGGCUACGAAAAGAGGGUGACCUGUCGCCUAUUGAGUUAAGAAGGAGAUUGUUGCAAUUCUAUCAUCUUGAGCUUCCAUACCACAGAGUUUGGAGAGGAAAGGAGCUU
rnacentral:lncRNA from 1 species